GUCCUACGGGAGGCAGCAGUGGGGAAUUUUGGACAAUGGGCGAAAGCCUGAUCCAGCCAUGCCGCGUGAGUGAAGAAGGCCUUCGGGUUGUAAAGCUCUUUCGGUCGGGAAGAAAUAGUUGUGGCUAAUAUCCACAAUGAAUGACGGUACCGACAUAAGAAGCACCGGCUAACUACGUGCCAGCAGCCGCGGUAAUACGUAGGGUGCAAGCGUUAAUCGGAAUUAUUGGGCGUAAAGGGUGCGCAGGCGGUUGUAUAAGUCAGAUGUGAAAUCCCUGGGCUUAACCUAGGAAUUGCGUUUGAAACUAUAUGACUAGAGUGUGACAGAGGGGAGUGGAAUUCCAUGUGUAGCAGUGAAAUGCGUAGAGAUGUGGAAGAACACCGAUGGCGAAGGCAGCUCCCUGGGUUAACACUGACGCUCAUGCACGAAAGCGUGGGGAGCAAACAGGAUUAGAUACCCGUGUAGUC
rnacentral:rRNA from 1 species